rnacentral:rRNA from 1 species
AGAGCGAACGCUGGCGGCAGGCUUAACACAUGCAAGUCGAGCGGAUGUAGCAAUACAUCAGCGGCAGACGGGAUAGUAACACGUGGGAACGCGCCCUUUGGUUCGGAAUAACUCAGGGAAACUUGAGCUAAUACCGGAUAAGCCCUUACGGGGAAAGAUUUAUCGCCAAAGGAACGGCCCGCGUCCGAUUAGCUAGUUGGUGAGGUAAUGGCUCACCAAGGCGACGAUCGGUAGCUGGUCUGAGAGGAUGACCAGCAUCACUGGGACUGAGACACGGCCCAGACUCCUACGGGAGGCAGCAGUGAGGAAUAUUGGACAAUGGGCGCAAGCCUGAUCCAGCCAUGCCGCGUGGAUGAUGAAGGCCCUAGGGUUGUAAACCGCUUUCAGAAGGAACGAACUGACGGUACUUUCAGAAGAAGGUGCGGCCAACUACGUGCCAGCAGCCGC